rnacentral:rRNA from 1 species
GAUGAACGCUAGCGGCAGGCCUAAUACAUGCAAGUCGAACGAUAGAAGAGAGCUUGCUCUCUUCGAAAGUGGCGCACGGGUGCGUAACGCGUAUGCAACCUACCUUAAUCAGGGGGAUAGCCCGAAGAAAUUCGGAUUAACACCGCAUAAAAUCACAGUACAGCAUUGUACAAUGAUCAAAUAUUUAUAGGAUUAAGAUGGGCAUGCGUGACAUUAGCUAGUUGGCGGGGUAACGGCCCACCAAGGCGACGAUGUCUAGGGGAUCUGAGAGGAUGACCCCCCACACUGGUACUGAGACACGGACCAGACUCCUACGGGAGGCAGCAGUAAGGAAUAUCGGUCAAUGGAGGCAACUCUGAACCAGCCAUGCCGCGUGCAAGAAGACGGCCCUCUGGGUUGUAAACUGCUUUUAUUCGGGAAUAAACCUCAUUAUGUAUAGUGAGCUGAAUGUACCGAAGGAAUAAGGAUCGGCUAACUCCGUGCCAGCCGCCGCGGUAA